AACGAACGCUGGCGGCAUGCCUAACACAUGCAAGUCGAACGCCCCGCAAGGGGAGUGGCGAACGGGUGAGUAACGCGUGGGAACCUACCCAGCAGUUGGGGAUAACCGCGGGAAACUGCGGCUAAUACCGAAUACGUCCUAAGGGAGAAAGAUUUAUCGCUGUUGGAGGGGCCCGCGUCGGAUUAGCUAGUUGGUGAGGUAACGGCUCACCAAGGCGACGAUCCGUAGCUGGUCUGAGAGGAUGAUCAGCCACACUGGGACUUAGACACGGCCCAGACUCCUACGGGAGGCAGCAGUGGGGAAUAUUGGACAAUGGGGGCAACCCUGAUCCAGCAAUGCCGCGUGAGUGAUGAAGGCCUUAGGGUUGUAAAGCUCUUUUACCGGGGACGAUGAUGACGGUACCCGGAGAAUAAGCCCCGGCUAACUUCGUGCCAGCCGCCGCAGUAA
rnacentral:rRNA from 1 species